UCUGUCCCUCGCACACGCCAGAACCGCCGUCGCACAGAAUCCCCUUCGCACACGCCAUCGCAGACUCGCACGUCUCGCGGUCUCGGUCCAAGGCGUGUUCUCCUCGUCGUGUCGUCUCCAUCCCGUGAAUGUCUGCGUCCUACUCUCCCGUCCUGUGAGCGUCGCUGUCCUCCGCGUCCCGUGAACGUUGCUGUCCUCCCCGUCCUGAACGCCGCCGUCGUUCUUCCUGAUUCCUGUCGCUCAUCCCUCGCGCCGUUGGCUUCGGUGGCGCCAUUUUGCUGUGCGUAGCUUUGGCCAACUUCAUCUCCGACCGCCGUUGGACGAAGAAGAAACCGAUUAUGAAGAAAAGCAGAGGAGUGGUUGCUCUUCAAAUUAUCCAAGAGAAAUACUAAAUGGGGGUUUCUUGAGGGUGUGAGUAUGUCUGAUGCACCGCCACCUAGAACGGUCUUGGUGCAGCAGUGUAUCCGUGAUAGAGGUGUAUUGGAAGUUCUAUGCAACUAUGAUGCUAUCAGUCUACUAAAAUUAAGGAGUGAAAGAACUAGAAAUGGUGGCAACGUAUGAAGAAGCGAGAGAUUAUAUGGCACAAGUGCAAGAAGCAUUUCAAGAUAAGAAAGAAGACUAUCAUUGCUUUAUGCAACUUCUCCAACUUCUCGAAGAUCAUUUCUUCUUGUGUGUUUUGUGUUUUGUGUGUGUGUGCAACUGUUCUUUUCCUUUUACUAAAUUACUAAUCAUGCAGUAAUGUUUGUUGCCACUUUGCUUUCUUAAUUAGUUAAUUCUUUCCUUGCCUCUUUUAUUAGAUAAUGUCAGUUGGCAGUUUAUAAACUAGCUUCUCUACCGUAGGUAGAUGGUGGAUGAAAAUCUGAGAGUGCACUCAAGACAUAUUCUGAACUUUCACCAUGUGAAUGACAGUUCAAAACUCAUUUAAAAAUUCAAACCAGAUUUAUUUGUUACUUACC